UGCAGAUCUGCACACAUUGGAAUUUCGCUAACUCCUCCGAAGGCUUUCGUUCGACCGGCACCACAUUUGCGCAGGCCAAUCUACACCCCAUGGCCAUUAAAAGUUGUACAAAUCAUGACGCUGCACCCCACGGUUUACGUUCUAGGGGGCGCCAAAGAUAACCCAAAAAUCCACAUUCUUAAAAGUCUUAUAACUUUUUACUUUUGUCCUCACUGGCCUCCAAGUUUUCUAGGAUGAUGCAAUGUCCAGCCAUCAACACAAUUUUGAAGGAAUUUUUACUCCCCAAAAGAGCGCCCCCCAAUGGCAGGAGAAAAAGGUCCAUUUUUUCUUGUCUCCAAAGGUCAAAAUACACAUUGUCGAGUGUCACGUUUGUAUGCUUUGUCAUAUUGACACAAAAUUUGACAAUCACAUGUAUCUCAAUAAGAUCUACGAAAAAGUCAAAGGGCAUGUAUCUGUCAAAUGUACGGUUAAAGGGCUAUUUUGCAUUUUUUGCCGAUCCGCACACAUUGGAAUUUCACUAACUCCUCCGAAGGCUAUCUUUCCACCGGCACCAAAUUUGCUCAGGCCAAUCUACACCCCAUGGCCAUUAAAAGUUGUACAAAUCAUCUUGCUGCACCCCACGUUUUGGGUUCUAGGGGGCACCAAAUAUAACCCAAAAAUCCACAUUCUUAAAAGUCUUAUAACUUUUUAUUUUUUUCCAUACUGGCCUCCAAGUUUUUUAGGAUGAUGCAAUGUCCAGCCAUCAACACAUUUGUGAAGAAAUUUUUACUCCCCAAAAGAGUGCCCCCCCAUGGCAGGAGAAAAAAGUCCAUUUUUUCUUAUCCCGAAAGGUGAAAAUACACGUUGUUGAGUGUCACGCCUUUACGCUUUGUCAUAUUGACAAAAAAAUUGACAAUCAUGUGUAUCUCAAUUAGAUCUACGAAAAAGUCAAAGAGCGCGUAUCUGUAUAAUGUACGGUUAAAGGGCUAUUUUGCAUUUUUUGCCGAUUCGCACACAUUGGAAUGUGGCUAUCUCCUCCUAAGGCUUUCGUCCCACCGAUACCAAAUUUGCUCAGGGCAAUCUACACCCCAUGCCCAUUCAAAGUUGUAAAAAUCAUGACGCUGCACCCCACGGUUUACGUUCUAGGGGGCGCCAAAGAUGACCCAAAAAUCCACAUUCUUAAAAGUCAUUUUGGCCACUGCAGGAGUACAGAGUACUGCAGUUCUAGGGGGCGCCAAAGAUGACCCAAAAAUCCACAUUCUUAAAAGUCUUUUUGGCCACUGCAGGAGUACAGAGUACUGCAGGAUACACACACAUAUACACACACGCCAACAUACACACACACACACACACACACAGACACACACACACACACUCAGAGUCUGGUUUUUAGCACCUUCAAAAACAUGCUGUUUACAUAUUUGACAAGAAUGCAGAGGCUUCCUUUUGCCCCUGAAAAAAAUCAAAUUUCAAACACAACUUGACUGUUCAUUUCUCCAAAAGACAACCAUGAAGCUCCAUUUCAAACCUGAAGCAGAUAGUUGGUGCAUGUGUACAGUAACCUGAGGGGAGUGAGGUGACUAUUUCUGAGGAGAACAUGAGCAGUAAGAUUCACCUUGGAGCUAGAACAGGGACGUGCACAUGAUUAUACAGGGGCAGGGGCUCAAGUUUUUUCCAGUCAUUUAUACAAUAUGGAAAUUAAUGUGAAAUUAAACCACAAAUAUGUGUGAUGAACUGUUUUUAAAACUUAAACUUCAAAUAAAAAUUGUAAACUUCAAAACAUAUGCAAAUUUUUAACAAAGAACAUAGUAAUUUACCUCUAUUUACAUCAAAAUGCAGGCAAUGGCCCAGGCGUUCUUUGUAAAAUUAUUUACAAAACACUGUAUAGUCUCACAAAUGUCACUUUUUAUUUAUGCCACUACAAAAAAACAUGAUGUAAAUGAUGCAUGAUGUAAAACAUGAUGUAAAAAACUUGUGUAGAUCCUCCUCUAUGUCAGUCCAUGUGUAAUUUUUCCAUAAUUCUUUGUUUUUUGCAGCAUUUUUGUUAGUGUAACUGCAGAUUGUGCUGACAGUGUCUAUGGCACAAAAAAAAAAAAAAAUUUAAAAUGCCUCAACAUGAACCCCUGGUGGUCUCUGAGGGUGAAACCUGCUAACUGCUGCAGCUCAGUCAGCUUCAGUCUCCCAUGCAGAGCUCUGAGCGCAUGUGUGGCUCUGCACCCUUAGCAGCGUUGCUAACUCCUCAGUAAGGAAAGCCUGCUUCAUGUCAGAGUCUCUAAACUCCAGAAGAAGUCGAUAAAAGUCCCUUUCUUUCUAAAAAAAAGUCGUUAGGGGGUCUGAAAAGUCAUUGAAUCUAACAACAAAGUCGCUAGGUUUGCAACUACGUGUCCCAGACUGCAUCCCUG
rnacentral:lncRNA from 1 species